rnacentral:rRNA from 1 species
GCCAGCAGCCGCGGUAAUUCCAGCUCCAAUAGCGUAUAUUAAAGUUGUUGUGGUUAAAAAGCUCGUAGUUGGAUCUCAACAGCCUUGAAGCGGUUAACUUUGUAGUUUUACUGCUUUAUAGGCUGUGCUUUUGCUGGAGGUUUAGGGGUGCUCUUGAUCGAGUGUCUCUGGAUGCCAGCAGGUUUACUUUGAAAAAAUUAGAGUGCUCAAAGCAGGCUAGAAUGCCUGAAUAUUCGUGCAUGGAAUAAUAGAAUAGGAUGUCGAUCCUAUUUUGUUGGUUUUCGGGACUCGACAUAAUGAUAAAUAGGGACAGUCGGGGGCAUUUGUAUUCAAACGACAGAGGUGAAAUUCUUGGACCGUUUGAAGACAAACUACUGCGAAAGCAUUUGCCAAGAAUGUUUUCAUUAAUCAAGAACGAAAGUUAGAGGUUCGAAGGCGAUUAGAUACCGCCCUAGUUCUAACCAUAAACGAUGCCAGCUAGCGAUCUGCCUGCGUUUUUACUGUAGACUGGGCAGGAAGCUUCCGGGAAACCAAAGCAUUUGGGUUCCAGGGGAAGUAUGGUUGCAAAGCUGAAACUUAAAGGAAUUGACGGAAGGGCACCACCAGGAGUGGAGCCUGUGGCUUAAUUUGACUCAACACGGGAAAUCUCACCAGGCCCGGACACUGGAAGGAUUGACAGAUUGAUAGCUCUUUCUUGAUUCGGUGGGUGGUGGUGCAUGGGCCGUUCUUAGUUGGUGGAGUGAUUUGUCUGGUUAAUUCCGAUAACGAACGAGACUCUGUCCUGCUAAAUAGUUUCUACUUCUCUUUUGAGUAGAAAUUUCUUCUUAGAGGGACUGGUGACUCUUAGUCACACGAGAUUGAGCAAUAACAGGUCUGUGAUGC